rnacentral:rRNA from 1 species
UUUAAGGGCCGCAGUAUUUUGACUGUGCAAAGGUAGCAUAAUCAUUAGGUUUUUAAUUGAGAUCUUGUAUGAAUGAUUGAACAAAAGAAAGACUGUCUUUAUAUUAAAGUUUGAAUUUAACUUUUAAGUGAAAAGGCUUAAAUAUUCUAAAGGGACGAUAAGACCCUAUAAAACUUUACAUUAAUAAUUAGUAUAUUAUUUAAUUUUUAUUAUAAUAGUUAGAUUUAAUUAUUUUGUUUUGUUGGGGCGACAAAAACUAUAAUUUAUUUUAACUGUUUAGAAGUAAGUCAGAAAUUUAUGAGUAAUUUUAUAGAUCCUUUAUAAAGAUUAAAAGAUUAAGUUACUUUAGGGAUAACAGCGUUAUUUUUUUUGAGAGUUCAUAUCGAAAAAAGAGAUUGCGACCUCGAUGUUGAAUUAAAAUUUCUUUAUAAUGUAGGGGUUAUAUAAGAGGGUCUGUUCGACCUUUAAUUUUUUNCGUGAUC